rnacentral:siRNA from 1 species
GGGCUGAGUUGCGCUGCAUUCU